UGAGUUUGAAAGAAAAUAGGAUCUACUUGCCUUAAAAAUAUUUAUAUGAAUUAAUUUAUUUAACACUUGAUAUUUAAAUUAUCAAGGUCAAUAAAAAUUAAUUUAAAUUAAAACUAAAAAAUAAUUUAGAGAAAAGUAAAACUAAUUAACUAAAUCUCAAAUCUAUCUAAUUAUUUCAUAAUUGUUAUCAUCAAAAUAUACUAAAAAAAUUGAGACCUAUCAACAUUCCAAUCCCUCGUUCUCCUCUGCCUCUAACACUGUUCCCCAUCCCCCUGUCCCCCGUCCCUUUAUUUUUGUCCUCGUCAUUAUCCCCCUUUCUUCAUCCUCCUCUCUUUCCCUUUUUUAAUGGAGAUGGUAAUCAAAAGAAAGGAAAAGAAAGAAAAGAAAGGAAAUAUCUCACGAAAUCCAUUUCUUCUUCUUCUUCUUCUUCUUCUUUUAAUUUUCCCCAAAUCUAAAUAUUGCAAGCUAUUGGAUGACUAGGUAGAUCGGAGACAUGGUUUUUCUCAGGCCGAUUCUCUGUUUUUUUUGGUAAUUUAGUCAUUGAGGAACUGUAGAUCUAAGUUGUUAUUUUGGUAAUAUAUGUAUGAGUGUUUUUUUUCCUGAAACGAUGAGCUUCUUCUUCAUCUAUUUUCCCCUAAUUUGGAUAUUGCUAGCUAUUGGAUGACUAGGUAGAUCGGAGACAUUUUUUUUUUUCACGUUGAUUCUCUGUUUUUUUUUGGUAAUUUAGUACUUGAGAAACUGUAUAUCUGAGUUGUUAUUUUGAUAGUAUAUGUAUGAGUGUUUUUUUCUGAAACGGUGAGCUGGUGGCCGUCGCGGAACCUUUGGUUUUCGAGUCGGCUCCAAACUUGUGGUGGUGAGUGGAAUCGGAGGAGUUAGAAGAGGAGAACGUAUGGCUAAUGAAAACAUGGAGAGACAGAGUGAGAGAGUCUCUGGAAUGAAGGAGAAAGGAUGAGGAAGAUGGGGAGGUUCAACUUGAACUGUUUUCCAAAUUUAUCC
rnacentral:lncRNA from 1 species